AUUGAACGCUGGCGGCAGGCCUAACACAUGCAAGUCGAGCGGAGCGGCGGACGGGUGAGUAAUGCCUAGGAAUCUGCCUGGGAGUGAGGGAUAACGUACGGAAACGGGAGCUAAUACCGCAUACUAUCAGAUGAGCCUAGGUCGGAUUAGCUAGUUGGGGGGGUAAAGGCCUACCAAGGCGACGAUCCGUAACUGGUCUGAGAGGAUGAUCAGUCACACUGGAACUUGGACACGGUCACGACUCCUACGGGGGGCGGCAGUGGGGAAUAUUGGACAAGGGGCGAAAGCCGGAUCCAGCCAUGCCGGGGGUGUGAAGAAGGUCUUCGGAUUGGAAGGCACUUUAAGUUGGGAGGCGUUACCAACAGAAUAAGCACCGGCUAACUUCGUGCCAGCCGCCGCGGUAAUUC
rnacentral:rRNA from 1 species